rnacentral:rRNA from 1 species
CAGCCGCCACGGUAAUACCGAGGGUGCAAGCGUUAAUCGGAAUUACUGGGCGUAAAGGGCGCGUAGGUGGUUGCGUAAGUGAGAUGUGAAAUCCCCGGGCUUAACCUGGGACGCGCGUCUUAUACUGCGUAACUGGAGUGCAAUAGAGGGUCGUGGAAUUCCCAGUGUAGAGGUGAAAUUCGUAGAUAUUUGGAAGAACACCGGUGGCGAAGGCGACUCUCUGGUCUGUAACUGACGCUGAGGAGCGAAAGCGUGGGGAGCGAACAGGAUUAGAUACCCCAGUAGUCCCUGUCUCUUAUAC